rnacentral:piRNA from 1 species
UCCUCCCAGCCUGUGUGCUUCAAGACACGUC